UAAUUCAAGAUGAGAUUGGAGUGGGGACAGAGCCAAACUAUAUCACAAGGCAUAGUUGAAGAGAAAUGUGAUUGGCAGAAUAAUGGUCCCGUUCUAAUCCUGGAAUUUGUGAAUAUGUUACAGUACAUGACAAAGGGGAAUUAAGGCAGUAGAUGGAAUUAAGGUUGCUAAUCAGCUGACUUUGAAAUAGGGAGAUCAUCCUGGAUUAUCUGGGUAGACCCAGUGUAAUCACAAGGGUGCUAAAAAGUAAAACAGGGAGGCAGACAAGAUCAGAGUGAGGCAGUAGAAGAAGGGUUCAUUCUGCUGCUACGGCUUUGAAGAUGGAGGAGGAAGACCAUGAACCAAAGAAUGCAAGAAACCUCUAGAAGCUACACAGGCAGCAAUAGAAAGUUAACAUGGGGGCAGGGUUGGGGGAAGGAGUCCGAGAGCCUGAGGCCUGAGAACAAGACAGGAAGACAUUGCUGGACAUUUAUUUUAUGACGUGCCUCAUCAGCAGAACAAAGAAGGGCAUGGACUUAUGUUUAAAAACUGUCCAGAAGUGACCAAAGAAAUUCACCAGUGAUGCAGAUGAGCUCCUAAUAAUCAUGCCAUCGGAGCAGGCUGUGAUAGCCUGGAAAUCCUGCCUGAAACCAAACUGCAACAUUUCCAACUAAGAAAUCAAGCGGUGAUAAACCUCAGUAUCUGAAAGGGUUAAAUAUUGUGCCCACGUGACUACUGUUCUUUCUUUCUGUGAAUUAAUGUGUGUGCCAGAAAAUAUUUGUGAAUAAAAAACAAUUACAUAA